rnacentral:rRNA from 1 species
GAUGAACGCUAGCGGCAGGCUUAACACAUGCAAGUCGAGGGGCAGCACGGACUUCGGUCUGGUGGCGACCGGCAAACGGGUGCGGAACACGUACACAAUCUACCUUUAUCUGGGGUAUAGCCCGAAGAAAUUCGGAUUAAUCCCCCAUAAGCUAUUAGAGUGGCAUCACUUCGAUAUUAAAACUCCGGUGGAUAAAGAUGAGUGUGCGUCCCAUUAGCUAGUUGGUAGGGUAACGGCCUACCAAGGCAAAGAUGGGUAGCUGGUGUGAGAGCCCGACCAGCCACACGGGCACUGAGACACGGGCCCGACUCCUACGGGAGGCAGCAGUGAGGAAUAUUGGUCAAUGGACGCAAGUCUGAACCAGCCAUGCCGCGUGAAGGAUGAAGGCCUUCUGGGUUGUAAACUUCUUUUAUUGGGGAAGAAAAUUACGGUUUCUACUGUAACCGACGGUACCCAAGGAAUAAGCACCGGCUAACUCCGUGCCAGCAGCCGCGGUAACAC